rnacentral:misc_RNA from 1 species
AGGACAUAAAAUGUAUAAUUAGAUUUACAUAUUCAUAUUUUGAGUUCAAGGUUGCAAAGCUUUUUGCUAUGCAAAAGUUUUGCAUACAACAAGAUACCCUUCUUUUCUGAAAUGACUACCUCGCCAGGGGAGAAAUUUCAGUAUGCAAAUUCAGGGCCAUCAAGUUAACAGCAUUAUUUGAUUGAGGACUUCUACUCCCCUCCCUUGUUCGAGCCAUCUCUGUUGCUAAACACUCCUUCAAUUCCAUCACCACUUGGGUCAUAUUUGGUCUUUCAGAAGAAGUUUCAGAUACACAAGCCAUUGCCAAUUCUGUAACUUUCCAUAGAGAAUUAACAUCGAAAUCUCCAUGUAACCUUGGAUCGGCAAUGGCCUUAAUAUCCCCCAUAUCGAGCAUGGAACUGACCCAGUUGCUGAGAUGAAUCUUAUCAGCAUCAUCGUUUUUGGCAAUGACAGGUCGACUUGUGAUGAUCUCUAAAAGAACAACUCCAAAGCUA